rnacentral:lncRNA from 1 species
UAAGAAGUGCCUUCUAGCUCCCCCUGCUUGGCCCGUGGGGCCCCCUGCGGUGUCUGGACAGAUGGAGGCGCUUAGGGGAGACUGACUUGGGAGCCCCCUACACGGAACCCCGGCUGCACCCACUGCUCCCCCUCAGGGCUGGUGCACAAGGUCCGGGGACUCAGCCGAAAGGGAAGUGCCCUUGAUAGCAGUUAUUGAAGCCCCAAGAAAUAAUAAUAAAGAGGACUUGGUGUGGUAGAGUCAAGCUCCCAAUGCACUGAAGAGGUCAUAAAGAUUCCAGUUCUGAAGAGUAUGAUGCAAACUUAAAUAUAAACAAUGAGCAAGACUGGUGACACAUUUCUCUAGUAAGCAAUCUUCCCAAACUUCUAUGGUAUCUUCUUAAAAC